GCUAAAUAUGAAAAGGCUGACAUACAAGGUCCCAGGCUCCCCAGGUGGCUUCGGGCUUGUAAGCAAGACUGGGCGGGGUAUAGUCAUAGCCCUGCUCGACCAGUCAGCACCAGCUCACACGGCCCACUGAUCAACCUACAAGGUUCCUCCAGGCCUGCCCAUAACUGCCCAUCCCCUGCAUGCCCAUACCGUUCAUGCCCAGCAUCGGGUUCUGACCCAUCAUACCUUGAUUCGCACCGAUGCCCAUACCGCCCAGGCCCAUGCCUCCCUGCAUGGCAGGGUUCAUUCCCAUAGCGGGGUUCAUCUGUGGGUUGCUGUAGUACUGCAUGGGGCGGAGGGUUUGUGGGUGCUCGAAGAAGGAGGGGAUAAAUCUGUGGUGUUCAGUAUGGCUGUGGACAGAGGUGGCACAGCAUGCAGAGCAGGGGUCCUUUGUAUCUUGGCAUGGCGAUGCACGCCCAACCUCACCCGAUCCUGGCGCCCGUCAUUUCACUGGCGAGGGAGGAAACCUGGAGGAAACGAACAAGUCACAAAUCACACCGCGUCCGAUCGAAACCUUGCGGAGAUUACGUAUCACCAUACAUCAUUCCUAUCAUCUAUACACAUACAUCCAUACAUUCAGAAUGUCCAUGCCCACAGACUCCCAUACAUGAUCAUCUGGCUCAUCACUCUCUUUCUUGACCCCCGACGCCGCCCCCAGCCUCCCACCGACACCAUCCUCCCUAAACAGCCCGCCCACUUCGAGGCGGCCCAUUCUGCACACCCAGAGCUGACCCAGCUGACGAACUAGACGCAGAACGGCCCCGCGAAGGCGUAGGCAAAGGCUGACCGGGGGAUCCCAUCGAAGCAGGAUGUCCAAACGAGGAAACCGUCCCUGUCCAACUCGGGUUACCCAACCUUCCUCUGGCGUUCCAUUUCUCUUACCUUUUAUCGCGCCUCCCUGCCUGCCAGGUUCCAAUCUGACCUCCCUAACAUCACCUGCACCCCCAGUUAAAGCACCAUUCUCCCCCUGCACAGGACUCGAAACGUUCCUCAAAUCCGUUAGGUAAACCGUCUUCCUCCCAUUCCCAUACCCAUACCCAUCACCUGCCACCUCCCCACCUCGUUCUGGGCUCGACGUCCCUCUUCCCUCUUUGGUCUCAACCUCCUCACCCUCCUCACCUGCCCGCCGAUCACGACCACCCAAGCAGCAGCAGCACCGUCUCAAUUUAUCAGGCCAGAGCGACCUUUGCAAUCCCCUCCAGAGGGUGUACAUGCAGAAAGUCAGGACCAACCCGCACACUAUGCCGAAGCCGAUGUAAAACCAUUCUAGUUUGACAAAGAAUGAGUUUUACGUCUGCAUCGGUGUAGGAUGUAGAACGCGCUUCGGUUCGGUUGUUGCGAAUGUUCAUCUCACCCCUCGUGUCUUAAGAGAAAAGGUGGUCCGUGUGAUAUUUAAUGGGAGAAAAAAAUCUGAAUGAUAAGAGAAGUAUUUAACAGUGGUGGGAAGUUGGAAUGACAAGGGGGUGGACUCCUGUGUUCAUAGCAAUGUUCUUGGGGUUUAAGGGUGUUCUUGUAUUUUCUUUUAUUGCAAAAUAGAUCUCGAUGACUUGCGUCGGCAGUGCAUAGGUUUGUGGUGGAUUUUGGCUCGAGAGUUUGACGGUGACAAGAGCGAUUAGAUGAGAUCCCAAGGGAAGAUUAUUUCUUGUUAUAAUUAUACAAUUCUUUAUUAUCCCUAUCAUCGCAUAUCACCUCCGUCGUCCUUUGGGAUACCCCACCCUUCCUGCCGUUCCCUUUUUCCACUAUAUAUGUACAAAGGAGAGUCUACCGUCCUGUAGAAAAUGGGGAUUGUAGAUGAUGUACGUCCUUUAGCGUUCUG
rnacentral:sRNA from 1 species